AGGCCAGACUUGGGGACUUGAUCCCCUAAAUGAAGGCGUAGAGAAAUCAAAUCAUGUGAUCAUGGGAACAAUACCAGUUCUUAUGCGCAACAUGUGCCUGUUCGUAUAACAAUGUUAGCAAUAACUUGUUGGGCGGAGCAAAGAGAUGCUUGAUUGGUACCCGAAAGAUGGUGAACUAUGCUUGGGCAAAUUGAAGCCAGAGGAAACUCUGGUGGAGGAUUGUAGCGAUUCUGACGUGCAAAUCGAUCGUCAGACCUGAGUAUAGGGGCGAAAGACUAAUCGAACCAUCUAGUAGCUGGGUUCCUUCCG
rnacentral:rRNA from 1 species